UCCCUCAUAGCUCAGUUGGUAAGGAAUCUGCCUGUAGUGCAGGAGAUCCAGGUUCGAUUCCUGGGUCGGAA
rnacentral:tRNA from 1 species